CCUGAGAGGAAGAAGCAAUUGAAAGCGAAAGGGGAGAGGCCACCCAGUGUUGCUUAAUCAGGGAAAUCUGUGUCUUGUGAGCUCAUACCCUGAUAAGUUCUGGAGUGGGAACUGGGCUGGGGUAGAGAGGUGGAGGGAGAUGAUGGUGCUCUGCAUGCCUUCACCACACAUCUGGCACUUCCUCCUGGGCAGGAAAAAGCCACCAAAAUUGAACAUUUAUGGGCUGAUCCUUGCAGGAACUGUUCACCCGAAAGUCCCUUUGCUGAGGUCAUGGCACUCCCCUUGAGGAACCAGCAACAGCGGAGGGUUGCUUCUUGAGCUGCCCUUGGAAGGUUUUACAAUAUAAAACAGAGGAAGGACCAAAAACAGAUGGAGGUGAAACCAGGGGAUUUGAGGGAGCAGCUGAGGGCAAUGAUAAGUGCUGAUAGAGAUGGAGCAGGGAGGGCUCCUGGAGUAUUGGGAGCAACUGAUGUAGGCUGGCAGUGCCCCCCUGCCCUGAGACCUGCAGCAGCACAGUGCUGGAGUAGCUGUGGUUCCUGAGGGCUGCGUGAUACAUGCUCGCUCCGUAGGAGAGAGAGGGAGAAAUCAGUCGCUCCUCGAGGAGAUCCGUCUCCAUCAGUCAACCAGCUGCAUCCCUUCAUUAAUCUUCCCUAACUUGCUGAAAUGUCUUUCGAUGGAUGAAGCAACGGAGAGUAGAAGAACAGAGCCUGGCAGGCUGCUUGCACAACUCCUGGAACAGGUGGAAGUGAGAUAGCAGAUAACAGGACUGCAGGAGUGUCUGCAUGGCAGGGUUUUGGGACUGGAUGUCUUCCCUCCCAACACCUGGUGGCUUUGUCCAGCUGCAGCCUUGGGAGGACAACCUGCCUGUGUUUGGCUCGUGUCCUUGAGGGCUGAAAACAAAAAACAACAAGAAGAGAAAACUUGCUGUCAGCAAUACUCUAUAUAUCCAGAGCUGUGCUAGGGAACCGCCAAGCUUCCUGAUACCCUGUGUUGGCUGAGAGGCAAUGAGAUUAAGGGAAGCAUAACUUCCAUAAAGAAUUUUUUGAAGGUAUGUAUACAUAAUGUAUAUGUGUAUGUAUUUAAACAUAAAGAUUUUAGGUAUCCAGUUUAAUUUACUGAGCUGCUCUGAUGGAUUCUGAAGUGGUGCCCAUUGUGGGGCCAGCAUUUGGGGUUUUUGGAGACCCUUCCCUUGCCCGUGGGCAUCUUGGGCUGAGCAUUUUGGAUUGAAGCUGCUCUCUCUGAUGGCCCAGGCUGUGUUUCGUUAUUCUUUAGGACACAAAUCUCCCCCUAAAUUCCUGAGAGCUGCUGCCUG